CAAAUAAUCAGAUAUAAUGGAUUAACAUAUGCCCAUUAGGAGUUAAAUACAGAUGAUACAUGCCAAACAAAAUGUAACAAGCAGACAGCAUGUUACAAAUAAACUGAUUUUUAUUAUUUAAAGAAAUCUGAGGUUAAAUCCUUCACCAAAGCACAGUAUAAAAACAUAUACUCCCUUCUCUUAUUUUUCCAUUUUGUAAACCUUGAAUUUCAAAUAUUAGGAAAGGAAAGCAGUUCAUUGAAUAAAUACAAAUGACUAGAAGUACAGUAUUUUUAAUGUUCAACCUCACCAAUACCAGGAGAUGGAAACUGAAACAAGAGGUCCUUUCUAGCUUUAGGUUGGCAAAAAUGUAAGACUUACAUGACCCAACAAUUUCACUAUCAAAAGUGUAGGGAAAGGAACACUCUCACAUUAAUACUGAAGAUGUAAACUGGAACUCUUUAGAAGAGCAACUUCACAGUGCUCAUUAAAAAUUUAAAUUAGACAUAUACACUUCUCAAGAUCUAUGGUAGAAAAAACUAGUGUCUGAGGAUGCUCUCUCUGGUCAUGUUUGUAUAAAA